rnacentral:rRNA from 1 species
UCACCAAGGCGACGAUCAGUAGCUGGUCUGAGAGGAUGAUCAGCCACAUUGGGACUGAGACACGGCCCAAACUCCUACGGGAGGCAGCAGUGGGGAAUCUUGCGCAAUGGGCGAAAGCCUGACGCAGCCAUGCCGCGUGAAUGAUGAAGGUCUUAGGAUUGUAAAAUUCUUUCACCGGGGACGAUAAUGACGGUACCCGGAGAAGAAGCCCCGGCUAACUUCGUGCCAGCAGCCGCGGUAAUACGAAGGGGGCUAGCGUUGCUCGGAAUUACUGGGCGUAAAGGGAGCGUAGGCGGACAUUUAAGUCAGGGGUGAAAUCCCGGGGCUCAACCUCGGAAUUGCCUUUGAUACUGGGUGUCUUGAGUAUGAGAGAGGUGUGUGGAACUCCGAGUGUAGAGGUGAAAUUCGUAGAUAUUCGGAAGAACACCAGUGGCGAAGGCGACACACUGGCUCAUUACUGACGCUGAGGCUCGAAAGCGUGGGGAGCAAACAGGAUUAGAUACCCUGGUAGUCCACGCCGUAAACGAUGAUUGCUAGUUGUCGGGAUGCAUGCAUUUCGG